AUGGAAGACGAGUUCAGGCAAGGGACCGGACCCAGGCGAUUCCGCUACAGCGAGCUGGCAGCUGCCACGGACAACUUCUCGGAGGCCAAGAAGCUCGGGGAAGGUGGGUUUGGCCCAGUGUACAGGGGAUUCUUGAAGGGCAUGAAAAUCGAGGUGGCUAUCAAGAGAGUGUCCAAGGGCUCUAAGCAGGGGAGGAAGGAGUACGCCUCCGAGGUGAGGGUAAUAAGCCGGCUUCGGCACCGCAACCUCGUGCAGAUCAUUGGCUGGUGCCACGCCGGCUGCGAGCUCCUCCUGGUCUAUGAGCUCAUGCCCAACGGCAGCCUCGAUCUUCACCUUUACAGUGCGGACAAUGUACUAUGGUGGCCAGACAGGCAUAGGAUCGUGCUGGGGAUCGGCUCUGCGCUUCUCUACCUGCAUCAAGACUGGGAGCAGUGCGUCCUGCACAGGGACAUCAAGACGAGCAAUGUGAUGCUGGACGUAUCGUUCAAUGCCAAGCUCGGCGACUUCGGGCUCGCUAGGCUCGUCGACCACGACAGAGGGUUGCACACGACGGAGCUCGCCGGCACGCUGGGGUACAUGGACCCCGAGUGCACCGUCACCGGCAGAGCCAGCACCGAGUCGGAUGUCUACAGCUUCGGCGUCGUGUUGCUUGAGAUCGCGUGCGGACGGAGACCUACCACGGCUCGACCCGACGGCACGCUCAUCCACCUGGCACAGCGGGUGUCAGAGCUGCACGGGCAAGGGAGGAUACUCGACGCGGCCGACCCACGGCUGGAUGGCAACUUCGAUCUCCAAGAGAUGGAGCGCGUGCUGGUCGUCGGCCUCUGGUGCGCGUGCCACGACCAGAGCCUAAGGCCGUCCAUAAGGCAGGCCGUCAACGUCUUACGGCUGGAGGCGCCGCUCCCCGAGAGGAUGCCGCCGGUUGGCCAAGCGGCCGGCCCUCUUCUCAUGCCGGACUUCGAUAGUACGGGUCACAGCUCCAGCUCCACUCAGCAGCUAAUAUGA
rnacentral:rRNA from 1 species